rnacentral:rRNA from 1 species
CGGCGUGCUAUACAUGCAGUCGAGCGAAUUAAAGGGAGCUUGCUCCCUGAGAGUUAGCGGCGGACGGGUGAGUAACACGUGGGUAACCUGCCUGUAAGAUUGGGAUAACUCCGGGAAACCGGAGCUAAUACCGGAUAACAUUUUGAACCGCAUGGUUCGAAAUUGAAAGAUGGCUUUUAGCUAUCACUUACAGAUGGACCCGCGGCGCAUUAGCUAGUUGGUGAGGUAAUGGCUCACCAAGGCGACGAUGCGUAGCCGACCUGAGAGGGUGAUCGGCCACACUGGGACUGAGACACGGCCCAGACUCCUACGGGAGGCAGCAGUAGGGAAUCUUCCGCAAUGGACGAAGUCUGACGGAGCAACGCCGCGUGAACGAUGAAGGCCUUCGGGUCGUAAAGUUCUGUUGUUAGGGAAGAACAAGUACCAGAGUAACUGCUGGUACCUUGACGGUACCUAACCAGAAAGCCACGGCUAACUACGUGCCAGCAGCGCGCGGUAAUACGUAGUGGCAAGCGUUGUCCGGAAUUAUUGGGCGUAAAGCGCGCGCAGGCGGUUUCUUAAGUCUGAUGUGAAAGCCCACGGCUCACCGUGAGGGUCAUGGAAACUGGGGAACUUGAGUGCAGAGAGGAGAGU